GCAGGAUGUAUGUUUAUCCGUGCGUAAACCACUUAACGCAGUCUAUAAAUACUUGCGGGACUUCUGUGAAAUCCAAACGUUUGGUGAGGUUUUAAUAGUCCAAGGAGUAUUACAGACUAAACAUGAAGUGCGCUGUGGCAAUAGUGCUCGCUCUCAUCGGCAUGUCACUCGCUCAUCCAACGCCAUCUUUGGGUGGAAUAGUAUCUCCUCUACUGCUACCCGGUAUAGCGGCUAGAUCCAGCGUGGUCAACCACGGCUACACCAUACCCCAUGCCUCAUACUCGUAUGUACCCAUCAUCAAAACUGUUCCUAUCAUCAAACCAAUUGUAGUCGAACCCAUCAUUAAGAUCCCUAUUCACAAUUCGUGGGAACAUUGGCAUGGACAUUAAGUAGGCAAAACAAACUGAAAUUCAAUUGUGCAAUCUUGUUUUGUUAACUCUUGUUUCAAUAUAUUUUAUAGCUGG